rnacentral:rRNA from 1 species
AACGAGCCAACGAGUUACGGUAUGUAGCAAGGUUAAGUACUUAAGGUACGGAGCCGAAGGGAAACCGAGUCUGAAUAGGGCGACUAGUUGCAUGCCGUAGACCCGAAACCGGGUGACCUAUCCAUGGCCAGGUUGAAGCGAGGGUAAAACCUCGUGGAGGACCGAACCACGUUGCUGUUGAAAAAGCAUGGGAUGAGCUGUGGAUAGCGGAGAAAUUCCAAUCGAACCCGGAGAUAGCUGGUUCUCUCCGAAAUAGCUUUAGGGCUAGCGUCGAGUAUGAGUAGUGGAGGUAGAGCACUGAAUGGGCUAGGGGGCAUAGCGCUUACCGAACCUUAUCAAACUCCGAAUGCCACAUACUUUGAGCUCGGCAGUCAGACUACGAAUGAUAAGAUCCGUGGUCAAAAGGGAAACAGCCCAGAUCGUCAGCUAAGGUCCCAAAGUGUAAGUUAAGUGGGAAAGGAUGUGAGAUUUCUAAGACAACUAGGAUGUUGGCUUAGAAGCAGCCAUUCAUUAAAAGAGUGCGUAAUAGCUCACUAGUCGAGAGAUCUUGCGCCGAAAAUGUAACGGGGCUAAACUUACCA